CCUACGGGUGGCAGCAGUAGGGAAUUUUCGUCAAUGGGCGCAAGCCUGAACGAGCAAUGCCGCGUGCACGAGGAAGGUCUUCGGAUCGUAAAGUUCUGUUGAAGGGGAAAAAGAGCGGAGAGAGGAAAUGCUUUCUGAUUGAUAUUACCCUUCGAGGAAGUCUCGGCUAACUCCGUGACAGGAGCCGCGGUAAUACGGAGGAUCCGAGCGUUGUCCGGAUUUAUUGGGUUUAAAGGGAGCGUAGAUGGGUUGUUAAGUCAGUUGUGAAAGUGCGCGGCUCAACCGUGAAAUUGCAAUUGAUACUGGCAGCCUAGAGAACAGUUGAGGUAGGCGGAAUGCGUGGUGUAGCGGUGAAAUGCUUAGAUAGGACGAAGAACUCCGAUUGCGAAGGCAGCCUACUAAACUGCCACUGACAUUGAUGCUCGAAAGUGUGGGUAUCAAACAGGAUUAGAUACCCUUGUAGUC
rnacentral:rRNA from 1 species